rnacentral:rRNA from 1 species
AAUCAACGCUGGCGGCGUGCCUAACACAUGCAAGUCGAACGCGACUGGGGACUUCGGUUCUCGGUUGAGUGGCGAACGGGUGAGUAACACGUGGGUGAUCUACCUUCGAGUGGGGGAUAACGUUCCGAAAGGAGCGCUAAUACCGCAUGACGUUCCGGGUUUGAAGACCUGGAAACCAAAGCCGGGGACCGCAAGGCCUGGCGCUCAAAGAGGAGCCCGCGUCCGAUUAGCUAGUUGGCGGGGUAACGGCCCACCAAGGCGACGAUCGGUAGCCGGCCUGAGAGGGCGGACGGCCACACUGGGACUGAGACACGGUCCGGACUCCUACGGGAGGCAGCAGUGGGGAAUAUUGGACAAUGGGGGAAACCCUGAUCCAG